AUUGAACGCUGGCGGCAUGCCUUACACAUGCAAGUCGAACGGUAACGGGCCUUCGGGUGACGACGAGUGGCGAACGGGUGAGUAAUGUAUCGGAACGUACCUUUCAGUGGGGGAUAACGUAGCGAAAGUUACGCUAAUACCGCAUAUUCUGUGAGCAGGAAAGCAGGGGAUCGCAAGACCUUGCGCUGAUUGAGCGGCCGAUAUCAGAUUAGCUAGUUGGUGAGGUAAAGGCUCACCAAGGCGACGAUCUGUAGCGGGUCUGAGAGGAUGAUCCGCCACACUGGAACUGAGACACGGUCCAGACUCCUACGGGAGGCAGCAGUGGGGAAUUUUGGACAAUGGGGGCAACCCUGAUCCAGCCAUGCCGCGUGAGUGAAGAAGGCCUUCGGGUUGUAAAGCUCUUUCGGCCGGGAAGAAAUCGUAUGGGUUAAUACCCUGUGCGGAUGACGGUACCGGCAUAAGAAGCACCGGCUAACUACGUG
rnacentral:rRNA from 1 species